UACGAAGGGUGCUAGCGUUGUUCGGAAUCACUGGGCGUAAAGCGCACGUAGGCGGAUGUGUCAGUCAGGGGUGAAAUCCCGGAGCUCAACUUCGGAACUGCCUCUGAUACAGCACGUCUUGAGUCCGGAAGAGGUGGGUGGAAUUCCUAGUGUAGAGGUGAAAUUCGUAGAUAUUAGGAAGAACACCGGUGGCGAAGGCGGCCCACUGGUCCGGUACUGACGCUGAGGUGCGAAAGCGUGGGGAGCAAACAGG
rnacentral:rRNA from 1 species